rnacentral:rRNA from 1 species
GGUUAAGCGACUAAGCGUACACGGUGGAUGCCCUGGCAGUCAGAGGCGAUGAAGGACGUGCUAAUCUGCGAUAAGCGUCGGUAAGGUGAUAUGAACCGUUAUAACCGGCGAUUUCCGAAUGGGGAAACCCAGUGUGUUUCGACACACUAUCAUUAACUGAAUCCAUAGGUUAAUGAGGCGAACCGGGGGAACUGAAACAUCUAAGUACCCCGAGGAAAAGAAAUCAACCGAGAUUCCCCCAGUAGCGGCGAGCGAACGGGGAGGAGCCCAGAGCCUGAAUCAGUGUGUGUGUUAGUGGAAGCGUCUGGAAAGGCGCGCGAUACAGGGUGACAGCCCCGUACACAAAAAUGCACAUGCUGUGAGCUCGAUGAGUAGGGCGGGACACGUGGUAUCCUGUCUGAAUAUGGGGGGACCAUCCUCCAAGGCUAAAUACUCCUGACUGACCGAUAGUGAACCAGUACCGUGAGGGAAAGGCGAAAAGAACCCCGGCGAGGGGAGUGAAAAAGAACCUGAAACCGUGUACGUACAAGCAGUGGGAGCACAGAGCAAUCUGUGUGACUGCGUACCUUUUGUAUAAUGGGUCAGCGACUUAUAUUCUGUAGCAAGGUUAACCGAAUAGGGGAGCCGAAGGGAAACCGAGUCUUAACUGGGCGUUAAGUUGCAGGGUAUAGACCCGAAACCCGGUGAUCUAGCCAUGGGCAGGUUGAAGGUUGGGUAACACUAACUGGAGGACCGAACCGACUAAUGUUGAAAAAUUAGCGGAUGACUUGUGGCUGGGGGUGAAAGGCCAAUCAAACCGGGAGAUAGCUGGUUCUCCCCGAAAGCUAUUUAGGUAGCGCCUCGUGAAUUCAUCUCCGGGGGUAGAGCACUGUUUCGGCAAGGGGGUCAUCCCGACUUACCAACCCGAUGCAAACUGCGAAUACCGGAGAAUGUUAUCACGGGAGACACACGGCGGGUGCUAACGUCCGUCGUGAAGAGGGAAACAACCCAGACCGCCAGCUAAGGUCCCAAAGUCAUGGUUAAGUGGGAAACGAUGUGGGAAGGCCCAGACAGCCAGGAUGUUGGCUUAGAAGCAGCCAUCAUUUAAAGAAAGCGUAAUAGCUCACUGGUCGAGUCGGCCUGCGCGGAAGAUGUAACGGGGCUAAACCAUGCACCGAAGCUGCGGCAGCGACACUGUGUGUUGUUGGGUAGGGGAGCGUUCUGUAAGCCUGUGAAGGUGUGCUGUGAGGCAUGCUGGAGGUAUCAGAAGUGCGAAUGCUGACAUAAGUAACGAUAAAGCGGGUGAAAAGCCCGCUCGCCGGAAGACCAAGGGUUCCUGUCCAACGUUAAUCGGGGCAGGGUGAGUCGACCCCUAAGGCGAGGCCGAAAGGCGUAGUCGAUGGGAAACAGGUUAAUAUUCCUGUACUUGGUGUUACUGCGAAGGGGGGACGGAGAAGGCUAUGUUGGCCGGGCGACGGUUGUCCCGGUUUAAGCGUGUAGGCUGGUUUUCCAGGCAAAUCCGGAAAAUCAAGGCUGAGGCGUGAUGACGAGGCACUACGGUGCUGAAGCAACAAAUGCCCUGCUUCCAGGAAAAGCCUCUAAGCAUCAGGUAACAUCAAAUCGUACCCCAAACCGACACAGGUGGUCAGGUAGAGAAUACCAAGGCGCUUGAGAGAACUCGGGUGAAGGAACUAGGCAAAAUGGUGCCGUAACUUCGGGAGAAGGCACGCUGAUAUGUAGGUGAAGUCCCUCGCGGAUGGAGCUGAAAUCAGUCGAAGAUACCAGCUGGCUGCAACUGUUUAUUAAAAACACAGCACUGUGCAAACACGAAAGUGGACGUAUACGGUGUGACGCCUGCCCGGUGCCGGAAGGUUAAUUGAUGGGGUCAGCGCAAGCGAAGCUCUUGAUCGAAGCCCCGGUAAACGGCGGCCGUAACUAUAACGGUCCUAAGGUAGCGAAAUUCCUUGUCGGGUAAGUUCCGACCUGCACGAAUGGCGUAAUGAUGGCCAGGCUGUCUCCACCCGAGACUCAGUGAAAUUGAACUCGCUGUGAAGAUGCAGUGUACCCGCGGCAAGACGGAAAGACCCCGUGAACCUUUACUAUAGCUUGACACUGAACAUUGAGCCUUGAUGUGUAGGAUAGGUGGGAGGCUUUGAAGUGUGGACGCCAGUCUGCAUGGAGCCGACCUUGAAAUACCACCCUUUAAUGUUUGAUGUUCUAACGUGGACCCGUGAUCCGGGUUGCGGACAGUGUCUGGUGGGUAGUUUGACUGGGGCGGUCUCCUCCUAAAGAGUAACGGAGGAGCACGAAGGUUGGCUAAUCCUGGUCGGACAUCAGGAGAUUAGUGCAAUGGCAUAAGCCAGCUUGACUGCGAGCGUGACGGCGCGAGCAGGUGCGAAAGCAGGUCAUAGUGAUCCGGUGGUUCUGAAUGGAAGGGCCAUCGCUCAACGGAUAAAAGGUACUCCGGGGAUAACAGGCUGAUACCGCCCAAGAGUUCAUAUCGACGGCGGUGUUUGGCACCUCGAUGUCGGCUCAUCACAUCCUGGGGCUGAAGUAGGUCCCAAGGGUAUGGCUGUUCGCCAUUUAAAGUGGUACGCGAGCUGGGUUUAGAACGUCGUGAGACAGUUCGGUCCCUAUCUGCCGUGGGCGCUGGAGAACUGAGGGGGGCUGCUCCUAGUACGAGAGGACCGGAGUGGACGCAUCACUGGUGUUCGGGUUGUCAUGCCAAUGGCACUGCCCGGUAGCUAAAUGCGGAAGAGAUAAGUGCUGAAAGCAUCUAAGCACGAAACUUGCCCCGAGAUGAGUUCUCCCUGACCCUUUAAGGGUCCUGAAGGAACGUUGAAGACGACGACGUUGAUAGGCCGGGUGUGUAAGCGCAGCGAUGCGUUGAGCUAACCGGUACUAAUGAACCGUGAGGCUUAACCUU